rnacentral:misc_RNA from 1 species
GAUGAAGAACGCAGCGAAAUGCGAUAAGUAAUGUGAAUUGCAGAAUUCAGUGAAUCAUCGAAUCUUUGAACGCACAUUGCGCCCGCCAGUAUUCUGGCGGGCAUGCCUGUUCGAGCGUCAUUUCAACCAUCAAGCCCCCGGCUUGUGUUGGGGACCUGCGGCUGCCGCAGGCCCUGAAAACCAGUGGCGGGCUCGCUAGUCACUCCGAGCGUAGUAAUACAUCUCGCUCUGGGCGUGCUGCGGGUUCCGGCCGUUAAACCACCUUCAUAACCCAAGGUUGACCUCGGAUCAGGUAGGAAGACCCGCUGAACUUAAGCAUAUCAAUAAGCGGAGGA